UACGUAGGGUGCAAGCGUUGUCCGGAAUUACUGGGCGUAAAGCGCGUGUAGGCGGCUCGGCAAGUCGGGUGUGAAAGCCCUCAGCUCAACUGAGGAAGUGCGCCCGAAACUGCAGAGCUUGAGUGCCGGAGAGGGUGGCGGAAUUCCCCAAGUAGAGGUGAAAUUCGUAGAUAUGGGGAGGAACACCGGUGGCGAAGGCGGCCACCUGGACGGUAACUGACGCUGAGACGCGAAAGCGUGGGGAGCAAACAGG
rnacentral:rRNA from 1 species